GUAACACGUGGGAACGUACCCUUCGGUUCGGAACAACCCAGGGAAACUUGGGCUAAUACCGGAUACGUCCGAAAGGAGAAAGAUUUAUCGCCGAGGGAUCGGCCCGCGUCUGAUUAGCUAGUUGGUGGGGUAACGGCCCACCAAGGCGACGAUCAGUAGCUGGUCUGAGAGGAUGAUCAGCCUCACUGGGACUGAGACACGGCCCAGACUCCUACGGGAGGCAGCAGUGGGGAAUAUUGGACAAUGGGCGCAAGCCUGAUCCAGCCAUGCCGCGUGGGUGAUGAAGGCCCUAGGGUUGUAAAGCCCUUUCGGCGGGGAAGAUAAUGACGGUACCCGCAGAAGAAGCCCCGGCUAACUUCGUGCCAGCAGCCGCGGUAAUACGAAGGGGGCUAGCGUUGCUCGGAAUCACUGGGCGUACAGCGCACAUAGGCGGCUUGUCAAGUC
rnacentral:rRNA from 1 species